rnacentral:rRNA from 1 species
CCUACGUGAGGCAGCAGUGAGGAAUAUUGGUCAAUGGGCGCGAGCCUGAACCAGCCAAGUCGCGUGAAGGAUGACUGCCCUACGGGUUGUAAACUUCUUUUAUAAAGGAAUAAAGUGAGGCACGUGUGCCUUUUUGUAUGUACUUUAUGAAUAAGGAUCGGCUAACUCCGGGCCAGCAGCCGCGGUAAUACGGAGGAUCCGAGCGUUAUCCGGAUUUAUUGGGUUUAAAGGGAGCGUAGAUGGGUUGUUAAGUCAGUUGUGAAAGUUUGCGGCUCAACCGUAAAAUUGCAAUUGAUACUGGCAGUCUUGAGUACAGUUGAGGUAGGCGGAAUUCGUGGUGUAGCGGUGAAAUGCUUAGAUAUCACGAAGAACCCCGAUUGCGAAGGCAGCUUACUAAACUGCCACUGACAUUGAUGCUCGAAAGUGUGGGUAUCAAACAGGAUUAGAUACCCUAGUAGUC